rnacentral:rRNA from 1 species
CAGUCGCCGCGGUAAUACGGAGGGUGCAAGCGUUAAUCGGAAUUACUGGGCGUAAAGCGCACGCAGGCGGUCUGACAAGUCAGAUGUGAAAUGCCCGGGCUUAACCUGGGAACUGCAUUUGAAACUGUCAGGCUGGAGUCUUGUAGAGGGGGGUGGAAUUCCAGGUGUAGCGGUGAAAUGCGUAGAGAUCUGGAGGAAUACCGGUGGCGAAGGCGGCCCCCUGGACAAAGACUGACGCUCAGGUGCGAAAGCGUGGGGAGCAAACAGGAUUAGAUACCCCUGUAGUCCCUGUCUCUUAUAC